UUCCUUUUUCAAUGAAAAUAUUCCUUGGCUAUUUUUUGAAAAAACAUAUUUAUCUAAUAAAAAAUAAAUUUAUUAUUAAAAAAAAUAAAAUAAAAAAUAAAAAACAUAUAUAUACUUUCAAGUAGAAUUUGCAUUCAGUCUAACAAAACAUGAACAAAGCUUUGAAGGAAUUUUUUUUUUUUUGGAGUUGCAUUUGGUUGAAAGAUUAGAUGGGAGAAGACUGACAUGUUGACGGUGCAGAGCCUUCCUGCCCGAGAACCAGUGCAUCUGCUUCCGUUAUUCGUUUGAACUGUUUUAUGUCCACCCGUCAUUUCCUGUAAUAUUCUUCAUAUGGGCAUUACACGCCUAGAAAAGAGUAAUGUCAUCAAGAGCCUUAAAACUGUUUUCUUAGUAAUUCCACCUCUAGUGGCCUAAACAACGUGAACACGAGUUUGUGCGUAAAAGAUUUCAGCUACAACGUUGAACCUGGAACGGUCCAAACGUUAGAAACACUUAAAAUGAACAGUUACAGGGGGUUGGGGGGUGGGGGCAGGAGGGUGGUGGAUAAAUAACUUCCGAGACAGCCACAAGCUGAACUAUUAGGCAGCCCUUAAAAAGAUACUCCUGGAAAUCAGCUCAGCUUGAACGCCGCGUGGAAAAUCGCGAGUGAACGUGUUGCACGGACAGUUUUAUCUUUUUUUUUUUUUUUUCCUUUUUUUGGCAGGCAUAGCUCUGUACGCCUGGUAGAGAGCGCAGAGGAUGAGCCCGGAAAGAUGCAGCUCAGAGGAUGAGCCCGGAAAGAUGCGUUCGAUUGUAGGAGCUGGGGCGGAAGGGCCCGCUGCCCUCGCCCGGGAGCCUGGCCUUGUGGGUGCCUGGACUUCGCGGCCCUGCGUCCCCCUGCCGUCCCCACACUGCAAAGACCACAAGCUCCUGAGGGGAGGAACGGAACCAGCCAUUCGAAUUUUCUCAGGUUCCUCCUCCCCCGCUGCCGCCGGGGCCUAUGAAAUGCAUCUCGAGACUCCUGCAGAGCCACGCCAAAGGGACGCUUCAGCUCAGCCCCGGCUGAAUCACUGCCGAGUUUGGUUUGGAGCAGUCUGCAUUUCAUCAAUGAGUCACGGAUGUGCCAUCGCUUCCCGGGGGAUUGCUGGCUCUACCUCGGAAACCUCCCUCUUUAGUUUCCGCUAGGAGGCCUCAGAAUCUUCUAGAAGCUCAUCGCCCAUUCCCACGAAAAGCCCGAAUACUAUUUCUGGAUCACGACAGCAGGGGCCCUUCUUUGUCUGAAAGUGGAACCCUCCCUGGCUUUGCCGGCUGCCGGCACCUGGGGUCGGGAAGCACUCAACAGGCCUCCCUUCUGUGCGCCCGAGGAGCAGGCCGAGUGUUUCUUCUCCGCGGCAGGAUGUCUAGACGGGCCAUCUUCUCUGCAUUUGAUGUGGGAUCUUUGUUAGGCACAGGGGACCCUGGGAGAAGCUCGAAUCCAAAACAGCUUCAGCCGAGGAGAUCCGUGCCAGGGAAGUCUGUUCUGUAAUGAGCUCUUUAUGUCGGCAGGCUCCGUAGUAACCCGGGGCCAACCCAGUUUUUUCCCACAUGAAAUUAAUUUAUUGGCUGGAUGGCCCAGACGUCAUUUGGCUCUCACCGCUGCUCGUAAGCGCGGGCCUCUUUUGGAAAAGACUCAUUAUUUUUGAAGAACCAGGGUCUCCUGGUUCCUCCAUGGUGUUGUGCUCCGUUGAUUCCCUUGGCUUCCUGGGAGGGGCUGUGUCCGCCUUGGAGCGCGCACGUGCGUGUGUGUCUGCGUGACCGUGCCAGGCCGUGCCAUGUGGGCGUAAAGCCGGAACUCAAAAAAGCUGAAGGUCUGGGUGCGACGGGCAGGUGACAUGUGAGGGGACCCAAGGACGCUCAGAAAACCACAGCUCAGCCCCCUCCACGGUCAUGACCAGCGGAUCACACAGAGCUCGGUGUAGAGCGAAGGGGCCGGGCUCAGGGCCGACCGCCUGGAGCCUGGACCUGAACCCCAGCUCCCCCAGCUCUGCUGCUUACCCCGUGCGAGGCCCUGUGCACACUGCUUCGUCGCUCUGUGCCUCGAUUUUCUCACUUGCCAAACGGGGGUAAUGGGAGUGUCGUGGGGUCAUGGGCAGGUUGAAUGAGUCAUUGCAUCCUCAACACCUGAAACCCUACCUGGCAGAUGGUGGUGGGCACCCGGUCCGCUCACGCCGUCAAGAGGAGCGCUCCUUGGUACUUGUCCUAUGAUGGGCUACGUACGGUGUGUGGUGGGAAAGCCUCUCCCCACCUUCUUCUAUCACUUGAUCCACACGGGCCAGACGUUGGACACUGACUCACAUCCCAUCUGGCUCCUCCCCGGGUCACCACGGGAUUCUGGGGGCCGUGCCACGCAGACCCUUGCCAAGUCCCCACCAGCGCACGCGGCGUCUGGCCUCCCCUUGGACACCCUCACGCCCCGGCCACCUCUUUCCGACAAGGUCAGGUAGGUGGCUCGUACAGCACGUAGCCUUUCCUGUCGACGUCUUUCACUUGGCCCGGCCCGUCUCGGAUCCGCCCGUGUUCUCGUGUGUCCCGGCACCUUGCGCCCUUUUAAUGCCGAGUCGUUCUCCAUCGUACGGAUGUUCUAUGCUUUGUUUAUCCGUUCACUGGUUGAAGGACAUUUGGGUUGUUUCCAGUUCUUUUGGAGAUGGUGCAAUAAAUUCACUAUAAACAUUUGGAUUCAGGUUUUUACGGGCACGUAAAUUUCCAUUUCUUUAGGAUUAUAUUUUAUAAGAAACUGCCUGUUUCCCAAGGUGGCCGUAGCAUUUUGAACCAACAGUGUGCGAGAAUUCCAGUUGUUCUGAAUCCUCACCAGCUCUUAAUAUUCUUAGUAUUGUCUUUCUCCUCCUUUUUUCUCUUUCUUUCUUUCUUUCUUUCUUUCUUUCUUUCUUUCUUUUUUUUUUUUGUCAUUUUAGCUAAUUCUAAUAGAUGCGUAGCGGUAUCUCUUUGUGGUUUUGAUUUGCAUUUUCCUGAUGGCUAAUGAUGCCGAGUAUCUUUUCCAGUGCUUAUUUGUCAUUUGUCCAUCGUCCUUGGUGAAACGCCUGCUAAAAGUUUGGCCUGUGUUCUUGUUAGGUUGUUUGUUUUCCUAUUAUUGAGAGUUUGGAAUAGAAUUCGGAUUUGGGUCCUUUGUUGGCUACGUGACCUGCAGGUGUUUUCUCCUGUCUGUGGCUUCUGUUCUUAUGCUCUUAACGGUGCCUUUUGCAGAGCAGGAGUUUUUAAUUUUGGUGACGUCCAAUGUAUCAUUAUCUUCUUUCAUGGAUUGUGCUCCUGGUGUCAUUCCACCAGUUUUUAAUUUAUUUUAAUUCUCCUCUGACUACGGACGGCAUUGGGAUGUGGCUUCCAGGCAGCUGCUGUGCAGGACUGCUUGUGCUCCCUCCGCAGUGCUCCCUCGCGGCCGCUGUGGUCACCAGCCAGCUCUUCCAUCCUGAGGGACGGAGGUCCCCAGGGGUCGUCUCUCAGAAGCCCUGGUGAAAGGUGUUGUCGGGGACAAAAGCCACUCCCACAAACACGGUGUCCUUGGGGGACCCCUGGGUGGCUCAGCAGUUGGGCGUCUGCCUUUGGCCCAGGGUGUGAUCUUGGGAUCCCGGGAUUGAGUCCCACGUCCGGCUCCCUGCAUGGAGCCUGCUCCUCCCCCUGCCUGUGUCUCUGCCUCUCUCUCUGUGUCUCUCAUGAAUAAAUAAGUAAAAUCUUAAAAAACAAAACAAAACCAAAAAAACCCACAGUGUCCUUGGGUGGGCCGAGUCACCUGCCUAGACCCCCACUUUCUCAAGAUGUCUUCAUUCCAGAAACUUCAUUGCUUUUCCCGGCCCCAGUCUCAGCAGGACCAUAGUGGCCCCUGCUCUAACUUUGAAUGUCGGGAAACGAGGUGGAGCCCCUCAUCUCCCAAGAGUUUGGGACUGAUCGCAAAUCAUCUAGGGGGUGGCAGCCUUGAAGAACCUGCAAAAGUCUCUUUUCCUCUUAAUUGCAGGAUACGGACCACACACCCGUCUCCACAUUGCCUGGACAGGAGCGUUGGCUUCAGAUCCCUUGCACUUUCUACUCCCAGAGAUGAGACCUUAAGUGUCCAGCUCCACGGACCCCAUGCUUGGCCUCUGCUCUGACCGUGCUAUGUUGCGCCAGGAAGGACAGGGCACUGGGGCAUCCGCGGGUUCUUUGUUCCCAGCUUGGCUGG
rnacentral:lncRNA from 1 species